UGGGUCACUUGCUUCCCCUUUGACCUGACUAGUAUGGGGCACUUAGAUGAUCUGUAUCUUUUUUUUUUUUUUUGGUACCAGAGAUCGAACUCAGGACUUCGCGCUUUCGAGCCAGGCGGUGGAACCACUGAGCCAAAUCCCCUGCUAGGUGAUCUGUAUCUUAAACAGACUGCUGCUAAUUUUAACAGAUAACAGGAACAUCCUCUGAGGACUUGGGUGACACAGACAGAAGAAGCUGCACACUCUGGAAAUUCUAUAGAAGGGUAUUGUGGGCCCUGCUUCUGAACAGGUAUUGGGAAACAAAACAGAAUUUUAUCAUUAUGGGAUACCUUAACCCUCUCCCAGAAUUGCCGUACAGAAUUUGCGAAGUGAUUGCUUGUUUCCCUGCCUGGGUCGUGUUCUGGACCUCUGGCUCCUUGAAGGAGGCAGUGGUCAGCAUCUAUUCCCUUUGGGUCCUUGGGGCCUAACAUGGGGCAGGGCAUGUAGAUAGGCUCAGAAAAUAUUUUCUGAAUGAACAAAUGAAAGAAUGAGAGGUGGUGGGGGUUUGAUGACCUCUUAAGGUCACUGGAUGGCUACCCCAUGUCCACCUUUGGAACCACAAUAAGGUCCUUGGUGUUGCUUUUGGGGCUACAGAGCUGACUUUAGCAGUUUUCUUAUCAGAAGCCUUACAGUGCUUGUUGAAGUGGAGAGGAAAAGAGCGUGGAGAAAUUUUAAGGGGGAUUCAUCAUCCCGAGGUGGAGCCCGGAGGACAGGAAAUGGGGGGCGCUGUUAACAGGAAAUUCCUUUAGGGACCAAUGGGCAGGAUUAUUGCCGGGAACUUUACUUAAUUCGGACCUAGAGCUGCUGACCAAGGGUCCCCUUCAGACUCAUAUGCCCAUAGAAUUCAAGGAAGGAGGCCAUCCCUGUACUGCCCUUUGUCCUCACAAAAAAACGCUAAAUAGCGGCCCAGGAUUUUAAGAGUGGCUCUUGGUUUGAUGCCAUGUGGAGGAUGAGGAGGAAACUGCUUCCAGAGUGCGGAUGAGUAGGAGACCACUGUGUCCAGGGCUGUCUUCGUGGGUGAGAAUUGGGGUCAGGUUGGCCUUUUAUGAUGGGAGACAUCUGGACACAUGGGGAGAAAGGGCCCAGAGCACGAACAAAGCACACAAAUAGAGAAGGGCAGUGUGUGCUUCGGAGGCCAGAAGUUCCUGGCAAUCUCAGCAACAUGAGUAGUCAGGCGGACAGGUGAGAUCAGAGGCUCGGU
rnacentral:lncRNA from 1 species